UGCCAGCCGCCGCGGUAACACGGGGGGCGCAAGCGUUAUUCGGAAUUAUUGGGCGUAAAGGGCGCGCAGGCGGUCUUGUCCGUCAGGUGUGAAAGCUCGGGGCUCAACCCCGGAAGUGCACUUGAAACAGCAAGACUUGAAUACGGUAGAGGAGAGAGGAAUUCCUGGUGUAGAGGUGAAAUUCGUAGAUAUCAGGAGGAACAUCGGUGGGGAAGCCGGCUGACUGGCAGAAUACUGACGCUCAGACCCGAAAGCGUGGGGAGCAAACAGGAUUAGAUA
rnacentral:rRNA from 1 species